rnacentral:rRNA from 1 species
CAGUAGCCGCGGUAAUACGAAGGGGGCUAGCGUUGUUCGGAAUUACUGGGCGUAAAGCGCACGUAGGCGGACUUUUAAGUCAGGGGUGAAAUCCCGGGGCUCAACCCCGGAACUGCCUUUGAUACUGGGAGUCUUGAGUUCGAGAGAGGUGAGUGGAAUUGCGAGUGUAGAGGUGAAAUUCGUAGAUAUUCGCAGGAACACCAGUGGCGAAGGCGGCUCACUGGCUCGAUACUGACGCUGAGGUGCGAAAGCGUGGGGAGCAAACAGGAUUAGAUACCCCCGUAGUCCCUGUCUCUUAUAC